UUCUGGCUCAGGAUGAACGCUGGCGGCGUGCUUAAUACAUGCAAGUCGAACGAAGACAUCUCGCCGAAGCUUGCUUCAUUGAGAUAUCUUAGUGGCGGACGGGUGAGUAACGCGUGGGUAACCUGCCUUACACAGGGGGAUAACAGUUAGAAAUGACUGCUAAUACCGCAUAAGCGCACAUUAUCGCAUGAUAGAGUGUGAAAAGAUUUAUCGGUGUAAGAUGGACCCGCGUCUGAUUAGCUAGUUGGUGAGGUAACGGCCCACCAAGGCGACGAUCAGUAGCCGGCCUGAGAGGGUGAACGGCCACAUUGGGACUGAGACACGGCCCAAACUCCUACGGGAGGCAGCAGUAGGGAAUAUUGGACAAUGGGGGAAACCCUGAUCCAGCCGACGCCGCGUGAGUGAAGAAGUAUUUCGGUACGUAAAGCUCUAUCAGCAGGGAAGAAAAUGACGGUACCUGACUAAGAAGCACCGGCUAAAUACGUGCCAGCAGCUGC
rnacentral:rRNA from 1 species